GACGAACGCUGGCGGCGUGCUUAACACAUGCAAGUCGAACGAAGUGGCGAACGGGUGAGUAACGCGUAAUCAACCUGCCCUUCAGAGGGGGACAACAGUUGGAAACGACUGCUCAUACCGCAUACUGAAGGAGGGGAUUGCGUCUGAUUCGCGAGUUGGAGGGGUAACGGCCCACCAAGGCGAUCAUCAGGAGCCGGGCUGAGAGGUGGAACGGCCAAAUGGGGAAUGAGACACGGCCCAGACUCCGACGGGAGGCAGCAGGUGGGAAUCUUCCGCAAUGGACGAAAGUCUGACGGAGCAACUCCGCGUGAGGGAUGACGGCCUUCGGGUUGUAAAGAUCUGUUAAUCGGGACGCGUUACCGGAAUAGAAAGCCACGGCUAACUACGUGCCAGCAGCCGCGGUAAUUC
rnacentral:rRNA from 1 species